rnacentral:rRNA from 1 species
UAAUACGUAGGGGGCCAGCGUUGCUCGGAAUUACUGGGCGUAAAGGGUUCGUAGGUGGUGCGGUAAGUUGGAAGUGAAAUCUCUGGGCUUAACCCAGAGGCUGCUUUCAAAACUGUCGCGCUCGAGUGCGAGAGAGGUCAGUGGAAUUGCAGGUGUAGCGGUGAAAUGCGUAGAUAUCUGCAGGAACACCCGUGGCGAAGGCGGCUGACUGGAUCGCAACUGACACUGAGGAACGAAAGCUAGGGGAGCAAACAGGAUUAGAUACCCUGGUAGUCCUAGCCCUAAACCAUCGGAACUUGGGGUGGCCCGCGUAGGCGGGUCGUCCCGUAGCUAACGCGUUAAGUUCCGCGCCUGGGGAGUACGGUCGCAAGACUG